rnacentral:lncRNA from 1 species
UCAGUGGUUCUCUAAAAGAAGUCAUUUGUAUGCAUUUCCAAUAGGGUCCUAUGUUAAACUAAGUCCCUGCUGGCGGCCAUCUUGGAUAAUGGAUCGGCUACAAAGUAACAACACUUGGUCAGCACCACAUUAGGAACAUUCAUGCCAUGUUUGAUUUCAUUCCAUUCAGUGGUUCUCUAAAAGAAGUCAUUUGUAUGCAUUUCCCAUAGGGUCCUAUGUUAAACUAAGUCCCAUGCUGGCGGCCAUCUUGGAUGAUGGAUGGGCUACAAAGAAACAACACAUGGUCAGCACGGCAUAAGGAACAUUCAUGCAAUGUUUGGUUUCAUUCCAUUCAGUGGUUCUCUAAAAGAAGUCAUUUGUAUGCAUUUCCCAUAGGGUCCUAUGUUAAACUAAGUCCCCCGCUGGCGUCCAUCUUGGAUAAUGGAUCGGCUACAAAGUAACAACACUUGGUCAGCACCACAUUAGGAACAUUCAUGCCAUGUUUGAUUUCAUUCCAUUCAGUGGUUCUCUAAAAGAAGUCAUUUGUAUGCAUUUCCCAUAGGGUCCUAUGUUAAACUAAGUCCCCGCUGGCGGCCAUCUUGGGUGAUGGAUUGGCUACAAAGUAACAACACUUGGUCAGCACUCCAUAAGGAACAUUCAUGCUAUGUUUGGUUUCAUUCCAUUUAGUGGUUCUCUAGAAGAAGUCAUUUGUAUGCAUUUCCCAUAGGGUCCUAUGUUAAACUAAGUCCCCCGCUGGCGGCCAUCUUGGAUAAUGGAUCGGCUACAAAGUAACAACACUUGGUCAGCACUCCAUAAGGAACAUUCAUGCUAUGUUUGGUUUCAUUCCAUUUAGUGGUUCUCUAGAAGAAGUCAUUUGUAUGCAUUUCCCAUAGGGUCCUAUGUUAAACUAAGUCCCCCGCUGGCGGCCAUCUUGGAUGAUGGAUCGGCUACAAAGUAACAACACUUGGUCAGCACCCCAUAAGGAACAUUCAUGCUAUGUUUGGUUUUAUUCCAUUCAGUGGUUCUCUAAAAGAAGUCAUUUGUAUGCAUUUCCCAUAGGGUCCUAUGUUAAACUAAGUUCCCGGCUGGCGGCCAUCUUGGAUGAUGGAUCGGCAACAAAGUAACAACACUUGGUCAGCACCUCAUAAGGAACAUUCAUGCCAUGUUUGGUUUCAUUCCAUUCAGUGGUUCUCUAGAGGAAGUCAUUUGUAUGCAUUUCCCAUAGGGUCCUAUGUUAAACUAAGUCCCCCGCUGGCGGCCAUCUUGGAUGAUGGAUGGGCUACAAAGUAACAACACUUGGUCAGCACCUCAUAAGGAACAUUCAUGCCAUGUUUGGUUCCAUUCCAUUCAGUGGUUCUCUAGAAGAAGUUCAAAAUGUAAAUUGUUAACGACGACGACGACGGACGACGACGGACGACGGACGCCAAGUGGUGAGAAAAGCUCACUUGGCCCUUCGGGCCAGGUGAGCUAAAAA